rnacentral:lncRNA from 1 species
CGGCCUUCUAUUUUUAAUUUAGCAUCCUCAAAUAAAUCAAUUUAACUUCUAAAAAUGUGUGCCUUUUUGUUUUAAUAACAUUAACCUAUUUUUUUAUUUUUGUAAAUUUAUGAAGUACAUUCUUCAAAUGUAACAAUUUAGUUCUACUUCAAGAUAAGGUAUAGACAACUGCAAAAUUCCACUGUCCUUACGAUCACAAUCAUGAAGAGGAUGGAGCUGCAGAAUCUGAGCAUAUAAAGACUUUUAUGAAUUCUAACGCCCAACCCCAACUUGAGCAUUCAUUGCGCUGGUCCUAAUUCACAUUCAAACGCCCUGAGAAUGGAGCUAACAGGAUACACUGCACCCAAUCUCAUAGGCACACACAGGAUAGAUCCGAAUACCACUGCAAAGACUUUUAAAAUGAGCUGAUAUUAAGACCUCAGUUCACAGAAAGCCAAAUAAAUAAUAAACAUCUUCUGUUGGAUACAAAUAAAACAGAGUCUCAUAAGAUAACAUUCACAUUUCGAGGGUACAUAUCGGAACUACUGAGAAUACAAGGAUGAGCUGCAAAAAUCUCCACUUGUCUGGCAAAUGACAACUCAGUGGACACCAAACACUGAAUAACAUGUACAGUGAAAUUAUCUGACAAAGACUUUAAAAGAGACAUUAUAAAAAUACUCAAAUGAGGCCAGGCACGGUGGCUCAUGCCUGUAAUCCCAGCACUUUGGAAGGCCGAGGCGGGUGGAUCAUGAGGUCAGGAGAUCAAGACCAUCCUGGCCAAAAUGGUGAAACCCUGUCUCUACUAAAAAUAUUUUUAAAAAAAAAUUAGCCGGGCGUGUUGGCAUGCACCUGUAGUCCUAGCUACUCAGGAGGCUGAGGCAAGAGAAUCGCUUGAGCCCGGGAGACAGAGGCUGCAGUGAGCUGAGAUCACACCACUGCACUCCAGCCUAGAUGACAGAGCGAGACUCCAUCUCAAAAAAAAAAAAAAAAAAAAAAAAAUACUCAAAUGUGCCAGGUGUAGUGGCCUGUAAUCCCAGCACUUUGGGAGGCUGAGGUGGGUGGAUCACUUGAGGCCAGGAGUUCAAAACCAGCCUGGCCAACAUAGCAAAACUCUGUCUCUACUAAAAAUACAAAAAAUUAGCUGGGCUGUGGUGGUGCAUGCCUGUAAUCCCAGCUACUCUGGAGGCUGAGGCACAAUAAUCGCUUGAACCAGGAGGCAGAGGUUGCAGUGAGCUGAGAUCGCACCACUGCACUCCAGCCUGGGUAACAGAGUUGAGACCCUGUCUUGAAAAAAAAAAAGCUCAAACAAGCAAAUGCUGACACAUUUGCAGGAAAAUAGAAUAUAAGGCAAGAAAUUUAAAAUAUAGAGAACAAAAUGGAAAUUUUAGAACUGAUACAUACAGUGACCAAAAUUUAAAAGGUGGUGAAUGCACUCAGUGGGACGACACAGAUAACAACAGGUGAACACUCCAGCAAAUUUGAAAAUAGACAAAUUAAAAUUACCCAAUCAGAAUAAUGGAAAAAAUGAAAAGAUGUUCUAAAUAAGUAGAAUAUCAGGGACAUUUAGGAAAACAUAAAAGUCUAACAUUUCCACAAUAAGAGUCUCAGAAGAGGAGGAAAAAAACAAAAUAUAAUAUUGAUUGAUUCAACAUAAAUACUAUGGUUUAUUUCUAGAUGGCAAGGAAAAUCACAUGUAAGAGGUUUCCAUUUAAAAGAAUUCCACUAUUCAUCAAAAUUUUCAUCUAUUCUCAAGACUGUUGAUUUCAAACUAGGUUUAGAGUAGCAAAGCAUAUGAAUUUUACAGUAGAAGACAUGAGAAGGAUAUAAAAGUUUGUUUUCUGUAUUCUUUCAAAAUUCUUAUUUUGAAGGCCUUCUGGGCAUAUAAGCUAUUGGAACUUGUCAUCACUUAAACUAUUUCCUAUAAAGAUGAAAAUCAGGCUAAUAAAAAGUAUUUUUAGAAAUUAGGCUGAAAACCUCUAAGUUUGGUAAAAGACAUAAAACUGCAAAUUUAUGAAUUGGAGCAAAUUCCAAAGGGAAUAAAACAAGGAAACUCAUCCCCAACAUAAUGAAAUGGCUAAAAACUAAAGAUAAAUACCUUGAAAUCUGACAGAAAAAUGACACACUACAUACAGGGAAACAACAAUUUGAAUGACUGCAGAUUUCUCAUCAGGAAAUACGGAAGCUAAAAGGAAACUGCUGAACAGAAAACAAUGUCAACUAAAAAUACUACAAGCAAAAAACAUCACUGAGAAUGAAGGUGAGAAAAAGAUGUCCUCAGAGGAAGCAAAAAAUAAGAGAAUCUGUACCUAUCAGAACCACUCUAAAAGAACUAAAAAACGUCUAUCAGAGGAAGUGGAAAUUUGCAGAACGAAAUUUGGAAAAUAAUGAAGGAAGAGCAACAGAAAUGUGGUCUGUUUUGAGACAUGAGUUCGGAAACUUACACUGUGUGGAGCCUGACAAUGAAGCCAACAAUAUGGAAGGCGGGACGAAGACAUGGAGAAACAUUCCUCCCUUGUGAUGUUGUUUGAGCCCAUGAAUCAGCCUCCCUGGAGUCAGUCCCACAUCUCUUCCUUGAACUCGCCUGAGCCAUGACACU